UUGACCUCAAAUCAGGUAGGACUACCCGCUGAACUUAAGCAUAUCAAUAAGCGGAGGAAAAGAAACUAACAAGGAUUCCCCUAGUAACUGCGAGUGAAGAGGGAAAAGCUCAAAUUUAAAAUCUGGCAGCUUCGCUGUCCGAG
rnacentral:rRNA from 4 species